CGGGGUGCAGCAGGCGCGAAAACUCUACAAUGCAGGCAACUGCGAUAGGGGGACAUCGAGUGGCAUCCACCUUGGGUGCCUGUCCAACCGUCUAAAAAACGGUUGUUAGCAAGGGCCGGGUAAGACCGGUGCCAGCCGCCGCGGUAAUACCGGCGGCUCGAGUGGUGGCCGAUAUUAUUGAGUCUAAAGGGUCCGUAGCCGGCUUUGCAAGUCCCCUGGGAAAUCCAGCGGCUUAACCGUUGGGCUUUCAUGGGAUACUACAUUGCUUGGGACUGGGAGAGGUAGGAGGUACUCGAGGGGUAGGGGUGAAAUCCUGUAAUCCUUCGGGGACCACCGGUGGCGAAGGCGUCCUACCAGAACAGGUCCGACGGUGAGGGACGAAAGCUAGGGGCACGAACCGGAUUAGAUACCCGGGUAGUCCUAGCCGUAAACGAUGCCCGCUAGGUGUCACGACGGUCGUGAAUCGUCGUGGUGCCGUAGGGAAGCCGCGAAGCGGGCCACUUGGGAAGUACGACCGCAAGGUUGAAACUUAAAGGAAUUGGCGGGGGAGC
rnacentral:rRNA from 1 species